AACGUAGGUGGCAAGCGUUAUCCGGAUUUACUGGGCGUAAAGCGUGUGCAGGCGGGUGGACAAGUGGUGUAUGAAAUCGCCAGGCUAAACCUGGCGGGGUUAUGCCAGACUGUUUAUCUGGAGUGCGAGAGAGGGGCGUGGAAUUCCGGGUGUAGUGGUGAAAUGCGUAGAUAUCAGGAGGAACACCGGUGGCGAAGGCGGGUCUCUGGGCCGAUACUGACGCUGAGGAGCGAAAGCGUGGGGAGCGAACAGG
rnacentral:rRNA from 1 species